UCUUUUCCUCCCUAUUCUCUCUCUGUACCAAUUCAAUCACUUCUUCCACCACCACAACCUUCUUUCACCACCAUAACAACCAAAUCCGGCCAAAAAGAAGCACACACCAUUUCACAGAUAUGAUAACGGUAACGGCCACUUUCAUCAGGUCGGAGAUGUUUAGAAUGACCGGAAAUCACAGAUCUCUCUCUCUCGGAACGACCUAAAAGAACCACUACGGCGGCCGGACUUGAAUCAACCUCCGAUUAUCUUUCUCUCUCUUGGAACGACCAAGAACUGUGACGGCCGGAGACUCGUUGAUAACUCUGUUGAUUUCUAUUAGAUUUAGCCUAAUUCAAUUAUGUGUAUAAGAAGUUCAUUAUUUUGUAAAGUAAUUGAAAUGAUCUUUAUUUUGAGUU
rnacentral:lncRNA from 1 species